rnacentral:rRNA from 1 species
UACAGAGGGCCCAAGCGUUGUUCGGAUUCACUGGGCGUAAAGGGUGCGUAGGUGGUGAGGUAAGUCGGAUGUGAAAUCUCGGAGCUCAACUCCGAAAUGGCAUUGGAAACUACCUCGCUCGAGGAUUGGAGGGGGGACUGGAAUACUUGGUGUAGCAGUGAAAUGCGUAGAUAUCAAGUGGAACACCAGUGGCGAAGGCGAGUCCCUGGACAAUUCCUGACACUGAGGCACGAAAGCUAGGGGAGCAAACAGG